UACGGGGGGGGCAAGCGUUGUUCGGAAUCACUGGGCGUAAAGGGCUCGUAGGUGGCCAAUUAAGUCAGACGUGAAAUCCCUCGGCUUAACCGGGGAACUGCGUCUGAUACUGGAUGGCUAGAGUUUGGGAGAGGGAUGCGGAAUUCCAGGUGUAGCGGUGAAAUGCGUAGAUAUCUGGAGGAACACCGGUGGCGAAGGCGGGUCUCUGGGCCGAUACUGACGCUGAGGAGCGAAAGCGUGGGGAGCAAACAGG
rnacentral:rRNA from 1 species